rnacentral:rRNA from 1 species
AAUUUACAAUGAAGAGUUUGAUCCUGGCUCAGGAUGAACGCUAGCGAUAGGCCUAACACAUGCA